rnacentral:rRNA from 1 species
UACAGAGGGUGCAAACGUUGCUCGGAAUUACUGGGCGUAAAGCGCGUGUAGGCGGCUUCAUAAGUCCGACGUGAAAGCCCGGGGCUCAACCCCGGAAGUGCGCUGGAUACUGUGUAGCUAGAGUCCUGAAGAGGAGAGCGGAAUUCCUGGUGUAGAGGUGAAAUUCGUAGAUAUCAGGAGGAACACCUGUGGCGAAGGCGGCUCUCUGGGCAGGUACUGACGCUGAGACGCGAAAGCGUGGGGAGCAAACAGGAUUAGAUACCCUGGUAGUCCACGCUGUAAACGAUGAGAACUAGCCGUUGUGGGUAUUGACCCCCGCAGUGGCGAAGCCAACGCGUUAAGUUCUCCGCCUGGGAAGUACGGCCGCAAGGCUAAA